UGCACCUGAGAGAAGAUGAACACGGCC
rnacentral:piRNA from 1 species